rnacentral:rRNA from 3 species
AACUUUCAACAACGGAUCUCUUGGCUCUGGCAUCGAUGAAGAACGCAGCGAAAUGCGAUACGUAAUGCGAAUUGCAGAAUUCAGCGAGUCAUCGAAUCUUUGAACGCACAUUGCGCCCGCCAGCAUUCUGGCGGGCAUGCCUGUCCGAGCGUCAU